rnacentral:rRNA from 1 species
UACAGAGGUCCCAAGCGUUGUUCGGAUUCACUGGGCGUAAAGGGUGCGUAGGUGGUCGGGUAAGUCUGACGUGAAAUCUCCAAGCUCAACUUGGAAACUGCGUCGGAUACUAUUCGGCUAGAGGAAUGGAGGGGAGACUGGAAUACUUGGUGUAGCAGUGAAAUGCGUAGAUAUCAAGUGGAACACCAGUGGCGAAGGCGAGUCUCUGGACAUUUCCUGACGCUGAGGCACGAAAGCCAGGGGAGCAAACAGG